ACCGGAGCUAAUACCGGAUAGUUCCUUGAACCGCAUGGUUCAAGGAUGAAAGACGGUUUCGGCUGUCACUUACAGAUGGACCCGCGGCGCAUUAGCUAGUUGGUGAGGUAACGGCUCACCAAGGCGACGAUGCGUAGCCGACCUGAGAGGGUGAUCGGCCACACUGGGACUGAGACACGGCCCAGACUCCUACGGGAGGCAGCAGUAGGGAAUCUUCCGCAAUGGACGAAAGUCUGACGGAGCAACGCCGCGUGAGUGAUGAAGGUUUUCGGAUCGUAAAGCUCUGUUGUUAGGGAAGAACAAGUGCAAGAGUAACUGCUUGCACCUUGACGGUACCUAACCAGAAAGCCACGGCUAACUACGUGCCAGCAGCCGCGGUAAUACGUAGGUGGCAAGCGUUGUCCGGAAUUAUUGGGCGUAAAGGGCUCGCAGGCGGUUUCUUAAGUCUGAUGUGAAAGCCCCCGGCUCAACCGGGGAGGGUCAUUGGAAACUGGGAAACUUGAGUGCAGAAGAGGAGAGUGGAAUUCCACGUGUAGCGGUGAAAUGCGUAGAGAUGUGGAGGAACACCAGUGGCGAAGGCGACUCUCUGGUCUGUAACUGACGCUGAGGAGCGAAAGCGUGGGGAGCGAAC
rnacentral:rRNA from 1 species